UGUUUCUGGAAGUGGGUUUGCAACUGGCCCAUCUUUUGGAGGUGGUGUGUUUUCUGCCAUCUCUCCUAUUGGAAAACAAGAAACUUCUGCGCCUACUUAUUCUUCUAGUGGUUCACCUGCUUUAGCAACUGCAGUUCCAGCUCCUAGUGGGGGCCACCUUCCUGUUAAGUCCAACUCACUUGAUUCACUGCAUAGUGCUUUUGCCAUGCAACCUAUGGGUGGUCAGCUUCAACGAGCUCAAUCACUUCCAACAUUAGACCAACCGGUUUCAACUUCAAUUUCUUCCUCACUCACAUCCCCUAGCACUUCAGUUGGAGUUGGAAAUUCAUCUGAUAAUUCACAGAUCCCAUGGCCAAACAUGAAACAAUCUGAUGUUCAGAAAUAUACUAAAGUGUUUAUGGAAGUAGAUACAGACAGAGAUGGAAGAAUCACUGGUGAGCAGGCACGUAAUCUAUUUUUGAGUUGGAGGCUACCACGAGAGGUUUUAAAGCAGGUCUG
rnacentral:misc_RNA from 1 species